AAUUAAAGUUUUCUCGGGUUGCAGUCAACUAGUCAGACUAACAACAUUCCGAAUUAAUAAAUUACUAGAACUUAGAAAGUAAAUACUAAAUGUAAUUUAAAAUAAUUAAUUUUACAAAUUUUAAAAUUCCGAAAAAUAUAAUCUUAAAUAAAGAAAAAACUAAAGCUAUAUUAAUAGAAUCUUUCAAAGUCACUAAGUCUCAA